ACACGCCGCGUGAGGGAUCAGGCCUCUGGGCUGUAAACCUCUUUUCUCAAGGAAGAAGAUCUGACGGUACUUGAGGAAUAAGCCACGGCUAAUUCCGUGCCAGCAGCCGCGGUAAUACGGGAGUGGCAAGCGUUAUCCGGAAUUAUUGGGCGUAAAGCGUCCGCAGGCGGCCUUUCAAGUCUGCUGUUAAAAAGUGGAGCUUAACUCCACCAUGGCAGUGGAAACUGUUGGGCUUGAGUGUGGUAGGGGCAGAGGGAAUUCCCGGUGUAGCGGUGAAAUGCGUAGAUAUCGGGAAGAACACCAGUGGCGAAAGCGCUCUGCUGGGCCAUAACUGACGCUCAUGGACGAAAGCCAGGGGAGCGAAAGGGAUUAGAUACCCCUGUAGUC
rnacentral:rRNA from 1 species